UAAGGGAGAAAGAUAAUAAAUAAAAAUGUGCAAAAAUUUUAAAUUUUUCUAAUCUAUAUACAAUUUUGAAUUCUCAUGAGUAAUUAUUUUUUAACAUAUAUUAUUUCAAAACCCAUAAGUGACGUAAGCAACGCGAUACAACAGUCACCUGAGGACAUUUACAAAAGGCGCGAGCCUCGUAAAUUUUACCUCAGAUCUUAACAAUAAAAGUUGUUAAAACUCUUAGUGUGGAGACAAGUCACAGAAACCAAGAUGUGUGGAGUUAAAUCACAAUGACCCGCAUUUCAGGGCCACGGUUCCUCUGUCAUGGAUGAGAGUGAUGUAGAAAACCGCUCUCAUUGCAGGCUCAUCGAAACAUGGAAAGGUCUUGCGAGCAUGUGUGGGAUGCAUCUGGCUGGUGGCUACUAUCCUGGAGGAAUUUCAGGGUCCAGGAGGAAGUGCUCCUGUGUGAUCUGGCCAGUUGUCGUGUUAAUAGUGACCACAGGAAAGCCCAUUUGAAGAACCCAGCGGUCCAUAAUCUCUUGCACAGUUCUGGGAAGACUGGUACCGCU